CUCCCGACUGUUUACCAAAAACACAGCACUCUGCUAACUCGUAAGAGGAUGUAUAGGGUGUGACGCCUGCCCGGUGCUCGAAGGUUAAUUGAUGGGGUUAGCAUUAGCGAAGCUCUUGAUCGAAGCCCGAGUAAACGGCGGCCGUAACUAUAACGGUCCUAAGGUAGCGAAAUUCCUUGUCGGUUAAAUACCGACCUGCAUGAAUGGCGUAACGAGAUGGGAGCUGUCUCAAAGAGGGAUCCAGUGAAAUUGUAGUGGAGGUGAAAAUUCCUCCUACCCGCGGCAAGACGGAGAGACCCCGUGGACCUUUACUACAGCUUGACACUGCUAUUUGGAUAAGAAUGUGCAGGAUAGGUGGGAGGCUUUGAGUAUAUGACGCCAGUUGUAUAUGAGCCAUUGUUGAGAUACCACUCUUUCUUAUUUGGGUAGCUAACCAGCUUGAGUUAUCCUCAAGUGGGACAAUGUCUGGUGGGUAGUUUGACUGGGGCGGUCGCCUCCCAAAUAAUAACGGAGGCUUACAAAGGUUGGC
rnacentral:rRNA from 1 species